UAGAUGGAGAGAGACCCCGAGCCCAGGGCGAAGACACCCAAAGCGGCCAAGCAGUCCAAAAAAGACUCUAACAGCGAGUGGAAAACUACAUUCUCGUCAAGCAAGACCUCCUUCACCAAAGGCAGGGUUUCGUUCCUGAGGACAAGGUUGUUCAUCUCCUGGGGGAAAUCCUCGUUUUCCUGGAGCAAAACCGUAGUAACUUUGGGCAGCAACAGCAUAACGGUGGCUAAAACCUCGGUGACGCGGGGGGAGACCACCAGCUCUCUCAUGACUCUGACCUUUACCUACGGGACCAAAUCUGUGUCUGUUGUCAAGACGACCCUCAUCAGGGGCAAGGAAAGGCACAGCAACAUCUACUGGGAUUUUCACACGUGAAUCCAGCACACAAAUAAAAGCUCGUGGAUGUGUCUGUGUGGUCAGUGUUAGAAGUCCUGGCCUGAGCAGCAGGAUCAGAUGACACUGCAGUCGAACUCAUCGCAAAGGAAACUCCCUUUUCCUGCGCUGCUGGACUGGCACAAAAAGUCAAGUUUUGCUCUCUUGUAGCCAAAACAAAACAAAACAAAAAAAAACCCAAAGCAGGUUCUGUUUCUCUUGAUUUCCCUCUGAAGAGUCAAAGCAAAGUGUUUGGUGGUUGGCGGAGGUGCAGACGGAUCGGGGCGUCAGACGGGCAGCGACGGCGUUUUGAUUGGGAGAUGAUAAUAAAUCAGGGAUAUAAAUGUGAGAGCAAGCUGAUCGGUUCAUGAUUGAUCCCCAAACCUACUGAACCUCUGCUGCAACCGCUAGCGAAUCAUGAAGAACGCAAAAGAGAGGUUGCAAAGAAAAAUUCAAAUACUUGUCGAAACAUUUUGACGUCGAAAUAACGCACAAAACGAUGCAAAGCAAGCACGUCCGGCAUGCAGAAACGUGGAUCUUUUUUUUGUGUGUGUGUGUUUGCAGCAGCCGCGUCGUUCCCGUCAGCUUCCUUCCUUUCUUUCUUUCUUUCUUCCUUCCUUUCUUUCUUUCUCACUUAUAUCAUUUAUUCCUUCCCAGGUUCUCCGUGUCCACAGCAACAGCAGCACUCGUCCUGCAGUCCUCCCACCGACACGGACGUCUUAGCCAGACCAGAAAGCAACAAAUCAUUUCGUUUUCUCCGUUUAUUACUGCCGCUUGAACAGCAUUUGGUGAAAUUCGGCUCAGAUUUUCACUCUCCGCAGGAAGCCUCAGCCGAGUUAAAGUAGGAAACCUGUUGCUACUGGCAACUGGACACCAUGUUUACCCUCCUGUUUCAAAAACUCUCCAUUUUAAAUAGAAUCUCAUCGUUAUUCGUAGUUUCCAUCUUGCUCAUUUCACCCUCCUCGUACGGAAACUGUUCCCUGACAUGAUGCAAAUGUUUGCUCAAGAAGUUCCCAGCGCCCCGUUCUCUGCACGCAGGUGUCCUCCUCUGUAAACGUGUCUCUAAUUAAAGCAGACUCGGCUUUAUGAAACACUGAGCUGAGAUCAGUUCUGUGGGACAAGAAACACUAAAAAAAAAAGAACUUUUUCUUCCCAAAGCAGAACUGAAACCAUGUUGUUGUUCCCCCUCCCAACAAAACAUAUUAAGAAUGGAAAGGGUUAAUCUGUGUCUUUGCUGACUGUAUGUUAAAAUAGACUUUUUACAUUUAUACACACGUAUAUGAGGAUAUAAGAAAAGCUUGGCACGCCGCACUAAUGAGAAGCACUAACGUCAUUUAGCUCAUGCACUGCAAAAAAAAAAAAAAUGUUACCAAGUAUUUGUUGUCUAGUUUCUAGUGAAAAUAUCUUCCUACUAAAACUAACUUAGAAGUAACUUUUAGCAAGAAAUAAGAGCUUUUUAAAGUAAAUAAUUAGUUAUUCCACUUUUAACAUGGUGAAAUAUUCUUUUAUUUACUUAAAACAAGCUCUUAUAUCUUGCUGAAAAAUUACUUGUAAGUUAGUUUGUUUUAUUUCAAGACAUUUGCGCUAGAAACUAAACCAAAAUACUUGGUAGUAUUUAGUGUUUUUGCAGCCAGGUAUCUGUGUCUGGAUAAUUUAUAAGAAGAACGUCACGCACGGCCAAGAGGCCGGCUGCACAUUCAGCUUCCACAUCCCAUAACGACUCCGAUCAGCUCAGAGUGGAACGAAAAGGAAAAGUGACGAAAGAGAAGAUCGGACAGACGCACCUGGAGGAAAACAUCUCCUUUAAAAGAAGUUAAUCGCUAAAAGAAACGAGGAAAAUGCAGAAUUUGGAGUGAGCAUUACUGACAGAAAGCAUUUUGAGUUUUAUUUCCGUCUCGUCUUGUUUGUCUUUAAAUGCUUACAUGAUUAAAAGUGUCUGAGCACGGUCGGAGCAAACUGAAAACAAGCGUGUUCGUGGUUCCUCACUCAUGUUCGUGUUAAAAGUCCGAUGUGAAACCGUUUUGUUUCCUUUGCAGCCAUGUCUGCUUUGUGUUGUGUGUUGUGGCUCCAUGUAUCUCACUUUAAUGCAAAAAAGGACCAUAAAGAGAAUAAAAAAUGCUUGAAUGUGUGUCUA